rnacentral:rRNA from 1 species
CCUACGGGAGGCAGCAGUGGGGAAUAUUGGGCAAUGGGCGCAAGCCUGAUCCAGCAACGCCGCGUGAAGGAAGAAGGCUUUCGGGUUGUAAACUUCUUUUAAGAGGGAAGAGCAGAAGACGGUACCUCUUGAAUAAGCCACGGCUAACUACGUGCCAGCAGCCGGGCGAAUACGUAGGUGGCAAGCGUGGUCCGGCUUUACUGGGUGGAAAGGGCGUGUAGCCGGGGUGACAAGUCAGUUGUGAAAUUCCGGGGCUCAAUCCCCGGCCUGCCUUGGAAACUGUUGGACUUGAGUAUCGGAGAGGCAGGCGGAAUUCCGAGUGUAGCGGUGAAAUGCGUAGAUAUUAGGAGGAACACCAGUGGCGAAGGCGGCCUGCUGGACGACAACUGACGGUGAGGCGCGAAAGCGUGGGGAGCAAACAGGAUUAGAUACCCGGGUAGUC